rnacentral:rRNA from 1 species
GAUCAACGCUGGCUGCUGGCCUAAUAUAUGCAAGUCGAGCUAAGAGACGAGUAGCUUGCUCCUCUAACGUUAGCGGCGGACGGGUUAGUAACACGGGGAUAACCUACCUAUAAGACUGGGAUAUCUGUGGGAAACCGGAGCUGAUACCGGAUGAUAUAUUCAACCGCAUUGUUCAAUAGUUAAAGCAGGUUUUCAUGUCACUUAUAGUUUGAUCCGGUCCGCAUUAGCUAGUUGGUCAGGUAACGGCUUACCAAGGCAACGGUGCGUAGCCGACGUUAGAGGGUGAUAGGCCACACUGGAACUGAGACACGGUCCAGAAUCCGACGGGAGGGAGCAGUAGGCAAUCUUCCGCAAUGGGCGAAAGCCUGACGGAGCAACGCCGGGUGAGUGAUGAAGGCAUUCGGAUCGUAAAACUCGGUUAUUAGGGAAGAACAAAUGUGUAAGUAACUAUGCACGUCUUGACGGUGCCUAAUAAGAGAGCAACGGCUAAGUACGUG